CCACACUCCAGGGUAGCCUAUGUUUUCUUCAUACACAGGGCAAACAAAUUCUUCCAUAGCAGGUCUACACUAAUUUGGAAAGCUAAGGAACCUUGGUCUGCUUCAUGAGUAAAUCUCUUAUCAAGAGCUUCACAGAAGAAAUCAGAAGCUGACAUACCAGCUCAUCAAAAGGUGGCAUGAUGACCAUAGUGAUUCAUGUGGAGAUCCCCAAGAAAAGAACACAUCAAAGUUUUUGCACAGAGCAAGAUGUGGAUCAGAAAACCCACAGCACACUGAAUAAUAGGUUGACGUGGAAGAUUCUUUCUUCAAUGGUGCAUGAACUUUGGAAGGGAUUGCAUUCUCUCUAUGCUAAAUCACUCAGGGUUAAGUGAUCUAGAACAAUAUUGUGGGGAGUGAGGUCAUUUCUAUACAACACGUGUGACAUAGGAAAAUUCUUGCUCUAUGCUUGUUUCACACGAUGUCAUAAGUUAUCAAAUAAAUGGAAAUUUCACAUUACCCUGCCGAUAGACUGGAUCUUUUAUCAUUUACUCUGGUGCCAGGAUGUGUGGUUUAGACCAACAAACCUCUGUCAUGCCACCUACCGCCUUGUCCCUCAGCCACAUCCCCU